GAUGAACGCUGGCGGCGUGCCUAAUACAUGCAAGUCGAGCGAACGGACGGGAAGCUUGCUUCUCUGAUGUUAGCGGCGGACGGGUGAGUAACACGUGGAUAACCUACCUAUAAGACUGGGAUAACUUCGGGAAACCGGAGCUAAUACCGGAUAAUAUUUUGAACCGCAUGGUUCAAAAGUGAAAGACGGUCUUGCUGUCACUUAUAGAUGGAUCCGCGCUGCAUUAGCUAGUUGGUAAGGUAACGGCUUACCAAGGCAACGAUGCAUAGCCGACCUGAGAGGGUGAUCGGCCACACUGGAACUGAGACACGGUCCAGACUCCUACGGGAGGCAGCAGUAGGGAAUCUUCCGCAAUGGGCGAAAGCCUGACGGAGCAACGCCGCGUGAGUGAUGAAGGUCUUCGGAUCGUAAAACUCUGUUAUUAGGGAAGAACAUAUGUGUAAGUAACUGCGCACAUCUUGACGGUACCUAAUCAGAAAGCCACGGCUAACUACGUG
rnacentral:rRNA from 1 species